UGAAGAGGCUAAAGUUUACACCUGGGGUGCUACUACGGAACGUAAUGUCAAUUGCAGAAUUCCGUGAAUCAUCGAAGCUUUGGACGAAUAUUACACCCCUUGGUAUUCCUGGGGGAUGUCUGCUUGAGCGUAA
rnacentral:rRNA from 1 species